rnacentral:rRNA from 1 species
UACGAAGGGGGCUAGCGUUGCUCGGAAUCACUGGGCGUAAAGGGUGCGUAGGCGGAUCUUUAAGUCAGGGGUGAAAUCCUGGAGCUCAACUCCAGAACUGCCUUUGAUACUGGGGAUCUCGAGUCCGGAAGAGGUGAGUGGAACUCCGAGUGUAGAGGUGAAAUUCGUAGAUAUUCGGAGGAACACCAGUGGCGAAGGCGGCUCACUGGUCCGGUACUGACGCUGAGGUGCGAGAGCGUGGGGAGCAAACAGG